GAUGAACGCUGGCGGCGUGCUUAACACAUGCAAGUCGAACGAUGAAGCCCAGCUUGCUGGGUGGAUUAGUGGCGAACGGGUGAGUAACACGUGAGUAACCUGCCCUUAACUCUGGGAUAAGCCUGGGAAACUGGGUCUAAUACCGGAUAGGAGCGUCCACCGCAUGGUGGGUGUUGGAGUGAUUUAUCGGUUUUGGAUGGACUCGCGGCCUAUCAGCUUGUUGGUGAGGUAUUGGCUCACCAAGGCGACGACGGGUAGCCGGCCUGGGAGGGUGGCCGGCGACACUGGGACUGAGACACGGCCCAGACGCCUACGGGAGGCAGCAGUGGGGAAUAUUGCGCAAUGGGCGCAAGCCUGAUGCAGCGACGCCGCGUGAGGGAUGACGGCCUUCGGGUUGUAAACCUCUUUCAGUAGGGAAGAAGCGAAAGUGACGGUACCUGCAGAAGAAGCACCGGCUAACUACGUG
rnacentral:rRNA from 1 species